GUGCUCUCUUCAGGAACACAUAAACUUACAUUGGAAAAAAAUGCAGGGGGUAUUUGCAUGGCCCCUGCGCAAGGAUGACACAUACAUUUGUGAAGUAUUCCAGUCUUGC